rnacentral:rRNA from 1 species
ACGAACGCUGGCGGCAUGCCUAACCCCUGCCAGUCGAACGAGACCUUCGGGUCUAGUGGCGCACGGGUGCGUCACGCGUGGGAACCUGCCCUUAGGUUCGGAAUAACUCCCCGAAAGGGGUGCUAAUACCGGAUAAUGUCUUCGGACCAAAGAUUUAUCGCCUUUGGAUGGGCCCGCGUUGGAUUAGCUAGUUGGUAGGGUAAAAGCCUACCAAGGCGACGAUCCAUAGCUGGUCUGAGAGGAUGAUCAGCCACACUGGGACUGAGACACGGCCCAGACUCCUACGGGAGGCAGCAGUGGGGAAUAUUGGACAAUGGGCGAAAGCCUGAUCCAGCAAUGCCGCGUGAGUGAUGAAGGCCUUAGGGUUGUAAAGCUCUUUUACCCGGGAUGAUAAUGACAGUACCGGGAGAAUAAGCACCGGCUAACUCCGUG